CAACCUGUUGAACAACCUAUACUUGAAGAGUUUGAGACUGUUAUUGGUGGGGAAGGGGUCGCUACUGGUGGGGAAGAUUUUUCUGGUAAUGUAGAAGAGGAAGUUGCUAGUAUAGAGAAUCUAAAUGGUGGAGAAGAGGCUGGUGAAGAAAAGGUUGCUUCAGAGGUAGCUAGUAGUAAGUCAGAUCUUGAUGAACUUCCCGAUGAGGCUGAUAGAAAUGAAAUGGAGAAGAAAGGAGAAAACAAUUCUGGAGGGUUGCAACGGCUAGCUAUCUGUUUAAGUACAACAAAGAAGUUGCAAACAUGAGGAAACUUAGCUCAACUAUAUGUGAAGACAUGAUGAAGUACCCAAGAGAGUCAUGGUGCAGGGCAUUCUUCCAAGAAUAUUCCAGAUAUGACAUAGUAGAGAAUAACAUGUGUGAGACUUUUAACUCAUGGAUAUUUACUGCUAGGCACAAAAGUAUUGUUACCAUGUUAGAUGAAAUUAGGCAUAAAAUCAUAUCUAGACAGGUUGAUAUAAUAAAGUUUGAUGAAAUAUGGAUUUCAAAUAUAUCACCUAUGGCUAGGCUAACAUUAGAAGAAAACAAGGAUUUAGCUAGACAGUGCCAAGUUAUAUAGAAUGGGCAGGAUGGAUUUGAAAUCAAAAAAGGAGAUUUGAGGUUUAUAGUUGACACUAGGAUGAAUACUUGUAGUUAUAGAUUUUGGAGGUUGAGAGGCAUCCCAUGUGAACAUGUUGUGUGUGCAUACUAUUACCUACAAGAUGAUCCAGAUCAAUAUGUGGAGCAUUGGUACACAAAGGAAACAUUUCUGAAGGCUUAUGAACACUUCGUUCAACCAAUUCCUAACCUGAAGAUGUGGCCUAAGAGUUAUAAUCCUACCAUUGAACCACCAGCCCCAAGGCCAAUGCCAGGCAGCCCCCAAAGAAAUAGAAGGAAGGAAAGGAAUGAACCUAAGAAAAAAUGGUGAAAGUUGUCCAAAAAAAGAGUCAAGAUGACAUGUUCAUAAUGUCAUCAAGUAGGCCACAACAAAAAAAAGCAUGUACAUCAAGGGUUGCACCUAGAGGGUCAUCAAGUAGACAAGAACCACAAGGAAGUCAAUCAAGCCAACCAACUCAAAGGAGUUCAAUCUACGAUGAAACAACAACAACUAUUAAUAGAUGAAGGGGCAGGGGAAGAGGAAAUGCACCUAGUGCAGCUAUUAGACCUAAAAAAGAUGUAUUUCCAGAUGCACUUCCUUAGACUGCUCCCAGGGAAAGAUCCCCAAAAUCAAAGGCAGCAAGAGGGUCUUUAUCUACUGGAAAAGGGGGAAGGGGAAGUUGACCUGCAACUGCAAAAUUAUCUGUUGCUUUUGGGGAAAAAAGGCCAAGAACUAAUGGCUUUAGAUGCUACACUAACACAGAGAUUGGAAGGACAUUCCUUAGUCCUGAUUUAUCAAGUGAAAGGGUUAACAACUAUGAGACUAAAGUAAGGAGCAUCACUGAUGUGAAUCUGGAUGAUGGAAUUAGGCUUCUAGGACUUAGAUGGAAUGGGAGAGAUGUUAUUACUACUUCGCAACUACAGCAAAUGAGUGCAAGUAAAAGAAAACAAGUUGGAACACAAGCAGCAUCUCAGUCUUCAACUCAAGUGAUCAUGGAUAAACUAGCCAAAAAAAUUAGUAACCAAUCAAGAUUAUGUAAUAUGUAGCACUUGUUUUUGUUAAACCUUGAUUUUUUUUGUUGAAUGUGGUUUGCUGCACUCACUGGUAUCUUUUGAAACUGGAUUAUAUAA